CUGCAGCCCGAGUAGUGACCGUUAUUAUUGGGCCUAAAACGUCCGUAGCCUGUUUGGUAAAUGCUUGGGUAAAUCGUGUGGCUUAACCAUACGAAUACCGGGUAGACUGCCAGACUUGAGACCGGGAGAGGUUGGAGGUACUCCUGGGGUAGAGGUGAAAUUCUGUAAUCCUGGGGGGACCACCAGUGGCGAAGGCGUCCAACCAGAACGGGUCUGACGGUGAGGGACGAAGCCCUGGGGCGCAAACCGGAUUAGAUACCCGCGUAGUCC
rnacentral:rRNA from 1 species